UUAGUAUGUCAAUAUAAAUUUAUAUGCGAUGGACUUUAAAAUUAAAUUGUAUAUUUGUUUGCAUGCAGGUAAAUUAUAAAUAUAAUAUUAAAUGAAAGAUAAGCAAUAGUCUAAUAAAAUAUAAAAAGAACAAUGUAUAAAAAAAAUAAAAGAAAAUAAAAAAUAGAGACAAAAUAACUGUUGUCAAUAAUGCCUUCAAAAGUCUUUAUUUGCAAUCCUAUUAUGAGCAAGCAAAGAGACCAUCUAGAGAAAUUAAAAAAAUUAUUUAAUAAAUAUGUGAAUGCAUGUAUUACCUCAAUCGUAAAGCAUCAAUUUCGGGAACACCAAUGGGGUCGAAGACAAUUUUGAAAAAUCCAUCAAUGUUAGUAACCCUCUUAAGUCGGCCUUAUUAUGAAAUAUGAAAAAUAUUAGCAAAAUAUACAUAUAACAUCAGCUCCUAUUAAUCUAUUGUAUAUACAAUAAAUACAAUAGAUUACCUUGUCUCCAAUUAAUUUGCCAACACUGUAAAACACAUAAUACUAUGUCUGCAUCUAUAGAAUUCCAUAAAUCAUUGAAAACAUGAGCAAGUGCACCAUAAGCGACACACUUAAUGACGACGUUACUGUAAAAAAAAACGGAUCAAACCAUGUGAUACUAUACAAAUGUAUAUCUUUCUUUUUACAGAUGUUGAAUACUUACGGGAUGUGUAGUACAAAAAAAAACGGAUUUUGUGGUCGAUGAUACCAUUAUUUCCGUUAGUAGGUUCCAUCAUAUAUUCUUCAAGAAAUCAUACUCCUAUCACUUGACCAUAAAUAUCUGAUUGGAUAGGCCAAAAGAUUUACACAUAUUUAGAUACAUAAUAUUAUCAAUAUGAACACAUUCAAGAUUAUUUCGCUGCUCUCAAUUUUCAUUUAAUUAUAUAGAAGAGAAAACAUACCAAUAGGAAACUUAGGAUGAUGUAAGCCACGGUAAAGAUCAUCCCAGUUUGGAAAACAAUAAAAGCUGGAAUGUUUUAUAGGAUCGAUCUUCACAAUGACAGAGGAGUUAGUGAGGUUAAUAUUAUAUCGGUUCCUUGUCAAUCGAACACGCUCUGCUGCAUGGGAUAGCUCGAAAUCUUUAAUUUCAUAGGAGUGACCUUCCUCCAAUGGCAUAUCAGCUGAGAAACGAUUUGACAUAAUGCCUUGAAUACGUUGUACCACGUUUAAAGAAACACUUAUUUUGUUGUCUUAUUUAAAUGAAACACUUCUAAAUUUUCGAACAUACCAUAAAGUCUUUCAUAGAAAUGAGUUAAUAUGCUGCUUUAGUUAAAUCUCCGUUUUUUUUUUAAAUCGGAAUGUAAUCAAGUGUAAAUGACUUACCAUAGACAUAACCCCUUUUGAAAUCGGAAUGUAAUCAAGGUUAUUUUUGAAAUCCGAAAUAAUAUAGUAUAAUGUAAUGACCAGUGGCAUUUGUUUGUAAUUAUUCUAGUUGAUAAAGGUUUUUUUUUUAAGUAAGUGAGAGUGCAUGUGGUGAUGACACAUAGGAAAUGACACUCAUGUAAUAAACACAUGAGGCCAAGGUUUAUUUCUAUCAAUGCUCCUCCUUUAAUAAGAAAGAAAUAUUAUAUUAAAUAGUUUAAUUUAUAAGUACAUAUACUCACCGAUCAAAAGAAGGAAUUUCAGGUGUAGACCAGAAUCCCAUUAGUAACGUCAGGAUAUUGAUGAUGGUUCAUGAAAAAAUAAGAAACUAUUUUCAAGACAAGACUGAUAUAAUACCCUACCAGGUUUUGAUGGUUUAUUAGGAGGCAAUGAAUGUAAGGGCAUGUCUUUCACCUCUUCAUUCGGAAGUGGAGGUUUUGAUUUGGGCAAUGGAAUGCGUGAAGAAUUUAAGACACUUUCAGGUUACGUUUGCCACAAAUUGUUCUCAGUUAGUAAAAAUGGUUUCGAAACCAGAAGAAUAGCCAAUAUUUGAAAGUUAUCUGAAAGAUAUCAAGUUUUUACAAAGAAGCUUCCUCAACUUAGACAUCGUUCAUGUACCUCGAACGGAGAACCAACGGGCGGAUAGCUUAGCACGCAGUGCCAGGAAACAACCAUUCUUCGUCAUUUACAUAGAUUCGGAGUUACCGUUUUGGUUUACGGAGUCAAUAUGAAUCUGUGAAUGUUUUGUUGUCAAAAAAAAGUUUAAUUUGUAAGCAAUUUUAAAAGGGAUAAUUAAGAAAAUACCAUAUUUAUGUUUAAAAUUUGAAAAAUACACUGACUUAAUUUGAUUUUGAAAAUUACACUUGUCCAAUAUGUGAAAAGACAUCUUAACAGGUUUAGGUGAUUAUUGCUGAGAGCUCUGAGGGUUGCGCUGUACAUUUCUCUCCACAGCCAAAAUAUUAAAACAAUCAAACUUUACUUUACAUUUUAAAACUCACAGCCAUAACUAACUUUUAUUUCAUUUUAUUGCUUUGAAAACUUACUUAUGUUGAUUAUAUAUGAUACUUAACAAUUGUAUUCUUUUACUUCAAAUAAAAAUUCAUAAUUAUAUAAUAAUUAAUCAGUUCAUAAAAUAUUUAAUCAUAGAUAAAUUAAUAUGUAGAAAUAAUAUUAUCAAUCAUGUUUUUCCUUUAAAAAAACUCACAACUACAACUCUACAGCUAAAAUUCUAAAGCUACAACAUUAAAUCUCACAUCUUAAAUUUUACAGCAAAAAAAUAAAAUACAAACAUAACCAAUCAACCCCUUAAGUUAAAUUUUUAUCUUUUAGUGAAAUUCAAAUUUUGAAAUUAUUAAGAUAAAUAUAUUGAUUUAAAAUAUAUGAUUGGAUAAAUAUUUUAUAAUAUUUCAAUGUUAAUCUUUAAAAAAAUAUAACCUUAGAUAACUAUAUAAUUUUAUGGAAUAAAGUAUCAUGUUUGAUACACAAUAUAAAACUUAACAUGUUAAAACUCAUUAUCUCACCAAACCUGCAACUUCCAAAACUCUUCUUUCCAAAAUACUUAUUUAAUUUUUUUUUCAAAAAUUAAAGUUCAUAUAUAUUUUAAAAUUUUCAAAAUCUAAAAAUAAAAAUAAUAUAUAACAUAUACAUUUGAAUAAUGUAUGCCAAAAUACUUAAAAUUAACAUAAAAAUAGUUUAACUUAAAUAUUUGGAUAGAAAAAUCAAAAGAUAUUUUAAGUAUUUUAGGUAUUAUAGGUAUCCUUUAGUUAUUUUAAACAUGUACUUAUAACUAUUUGUAUAUAUUUUCAAGUAUUUUGGACAACUUAAAAAUGUCUUAUAUAUUUUGUAUAUUCUUUUAGAUAUUAAAUUUUAAAAUAAUUUUUAAAUCUUGUUCGCAUAUAUUCGGAUACCUAAAAUAUCUUGGUUUGGAUCGGUUCCGGUUCACUAGAUACCCAAAUUUUGAACUCAUUCGAAUAUCUAACCAGUUUUAGUUAAAGUUCAGUACUAUUCUUUGGAUCGGCCUUGGUUCGGUUUUUUAGAUUCAGAUUUUUUGUCCAACCCAAAAUUUUAUUGUGACAAAAUUUUAAACAAAAAUGAUUGUGGUUCAAAUUUAUUUUGGGUAUGCAAUAAAUUUUAAACGAAAACAUAUUUUACUAUAUAUAUGGUCCGUUUUAGUUCAUCAUUAAAAACUAUUCUAGGCUCAUUUAAGAAAAACAAUGUGCUGAACUUAAAAAAACUUUACCAUAUCAGAUUAUCAAUAGACACUUUCAAAUAUUAUAUGUUGGUGUUGUGAUGAAUAGAAAGGGGGCUAGGGUUAGGAAAGCAAAAUGUUUGUGCAAUUCAUGUUCUCGCUAGGUGAUUUCAAUAACUUCUAAAUAAAUCUUAGUUGUAUCGAUCUCAUGUAAGAUUUUCAAAAAAUAUUAAUUAGUAAAAUCUUACACUUUCUAGAGUAAUCAAUUGUUUCUGAAUUAAUGUAUAGGAGAUUAUAGUAAUCACAUAAAUAAAAACAAUACCUCUUGUUUAUUUACAAUAUAUUUAUGGUAAAUAAAUCAAAAUAAUUAUUUUAUUUAUUUUAUAAGGUAUAUAAUUAUAUUUCAAAGAUAUUGACAUAAAUAUAUAGUAUAUUUUAAUGUAAAUAUGUAUUAUUGAGACUUUCUACUCGUAUGGUUUUAUUAACAUUUGUAUAUUUGAUGUAGCAAAACAAUUUAAACCAUUAAUCUCAAAUUUUUGAUGUGGUAUUUUUUGAAGCACAUUUCAUAAUUAAAAUAUUAAGGUUUGAAUACUCUUUCAAUGCAAAUUUCAAAAUUAACGUAUUAUGUAUUUUUAAAUGGUACAUAGUUUAAUUUAAACGAUACUAAAAUAUAUAUAUUAUUAUUUAAUAUGAAUAUAAUAAAAAUUCAUAUUAAUACGAUUGUAUGAUCAUUUGUAUCUUGUUAUAACAAAAAAAUUAAGCCAUUGAUCCCAAAAUUUUCAAAGGGAUUUUUAACAUUUUUUUUUAAAUUUAAAGUUGUUUUAAAAAUUCAAAAUAUAACAUAUAAGGAAAAUUCUAUAUUUUUAAUUAUAUGGUUAAUGUGAUUGUUUAUUUUUUUAAUAAAUAUAAAAUUAAACAAAAAUGAGGAAGGAUGCAAAAAUUGUUAAUAAAUAUUUAUUAUUCAUAAUCAUUAAUUAUUAUAUAUAUGUUAAUCAUAUUAGGUAGUUCCAUAGCUUUUUUUAACGAAAAAAUACACGAUUUUUAUAUUUUGGGUUAAUAUAAUGUUUCAUAGUAAUUGGAUUUUGAACCAAUUUUUUUUUUUCAAUUGAUUCUUAUGCUGUCACUUAAGAUUAAUUGACAUCUUAAUUAAGUGACAACUAGCAAGACUCUUUUGUAAUUAUUACAAACUACAUGUUAUAAAUUUUUAAAUGUUUCUCUAUUAAUAUAUUGUUGAUUUAAUUAGGAUAAAUUAGUCAUUUAGCCUAAGAAAAAAUGUAGUUUUCAAAAGAAAUAAAAUACAAUGCAAUUUUCGAAAUAAAAUCUCUCUGCAAAGUAUUUUACCAUUUUAAAAACGAAAAAUAUACAAUAUUGAUUUGAUAUUAUAAAUUAAUACUCCCUCUGUUUUUUUAUAGUAAGUAGUUUAAGUAAAAAAAUUUGUUUCAAAAUAUAAGUAGUUUUAAUAAAUUUAAGUAACUUUUACUUUUAUUGGGUUUAGUGUGAUCAAUCAAAUAAUAUAUACUUAUUUAUGAUUGGUCUAACUACACCUAAUUUAUAUAUCAAAUGUUACUUUUGAGAAAAUUAAUAACUUUCUUAAUAUUUGUGCAUUCACCUAAAAACUACCUACAUAAAAAAAAACGGAGGGAGUAACAUUUAGCCCAAGAUUAUUAUGCUUAUCCCCUUUAAUUUUCUAACAUGUGACAAAGGGAAGGUAAGAGAUCACGUCGACGCUUGCAGAUAUUGCAAGGAAUAAAACAACACUGUUAACUAUCAGAUCAUACUAUACAAAGAGGCUGAUGACACGCACUUAUUUAACUUAUACAUACAUAUAAAUAGUAUAAAAUAUUGGAUCCAUUCUAUUUACUUUUGAAAAUUAAUAAAACUAAACAGUAAACAUCAUAUGAAAAUAGUACGAAUUUGAUAACAAAUUGAUAAAUAUAUAACGUAAAAAAACAAAUAAUUUGAAAAAUACAAUUAUGUUCUAUGUUUAAAAAAUAGAAUAUAACAAAACAAAUAGAACACGAUGGCGUAACCAAAAGUCUCAUAAAUAGUAAAAGAGAAAAAUCAAGAAGUGAAUGAUAAUACAUAAUUUACAAGAAUCAGGAAGAGUUGUCUUUAGAGUUGAUGGAUGAGAAAAAGAAACCAUCAACGAGGGUGGAGGGAGAAGAAGAGAGUGGAAAAAAGGUUAUGAGACGUUAAGUGGCGACGGUGAAAAGAUGGUGUUGGCGACGUAACAACCAAUGGUAGUGACGAUAUUGCAUUGUCCAAUGGCGAUGGAAUAAAAUGGGUAUCAAGAAGAAUUUAAUUGUCAGUACAUUAGGUGAAAUAAAAGAAAAGACGGUGGGAAGAGCUAAGAAGAAGAUGGGUUACGACGGGUGGCAACGGUGAUGAAAGAGAAUAUAUCGAUGGUGAUGGUAAUACCCGAUUGUACAGCUGGAAGUGAUUGAGGCGGAGUGAGCGGAAGUUGAGUAGAUGAAGUAGUGAAAGAUAGAUAAUGUGUGAUAGAGAAGAAAAUGUGACUGUGUUAAUGGAGAAGGAAAAAAACUACCACGCAGGGUUAAGAAUAAGAAGAGAAGGUGAUGUCGUGAUGAUACUACGGACGGUGGUAAAAAAGAAGACACACGGCGACGAUUAAAUAUUAAUGUUUUUUCUUUCAUUUUAACCAAAAAUGUAUACAAAAUUGAAACAGUGGUUAGUACAUAAGACAACUACAAACUAUAAUAUCAUGUGAAAGAAGAGAAGUGUAAAACAAACUAUAAUAUAUACUAAUGAACAUGUGAAAGAAGAGAAGUGUAAAAUUUGAAAGGCACGACAUACUCUUUCAUUUCGUUGAAAUAGUAUAAAAAUCUUGCAUAAAAUGCUACACGAGCGAACAUAUACUAUGCUAUAACUCUUUCAUCUUGAUUAAUAUAUUUUAAUUGAGUAUAUAUGUUUUAAAUAGACUUAAUAAAUAAUAAUUUUACGAAAUGAAUAAUACAAUUCAAAUAAAUACACCGAAAGCAUAUCAUAUAUGUGUUCAUAUUUUUAGGAAGGUCUUCACAAAUUACACAUAUUUUGAAAAAAAAAUUUGAAUUGCAUGUAAAUUU